AUUGUGCAGGGAUUAUAAAACAUUCCUCGUGCUGAUGGCAUAUCCUUGGAAUGACUCCUAUACGCCCAUAGAAUCUAAGAACCA
rfam:Hordeum vulgare subsp. vulgare, WGS project CAJW01000000 data, contig: morex_contig_44740